rnacentral:rRNA from 1 species
UACAGAGGGUGCGAGCGUUAAUCGGAAUUACUGGGCGUAAAGGGUGCGUAGGUGGUUUUGUAAGUUAGGUGUGAAAGUCCUGGGCUUAACCCGGGGACUGCGCCUGAUACUGUGAGACUAGAGUAUUGUAGAGGAAAGUGGAAUUUCCGGUGUAGCGGUGAAAUGCGUAGAUAUCGGAAGGAACAUCAGUGGCGAAGGCGACUUUCUGGACAAAUACUGACACUGAGGCACGAAAGCGUGGGGAGCAAACAGG